rnacentral:rRNA from 1 species
UACGGGGGGGGCAAGCGUUGUUCGGAAUUACUGGGCGUAAAGGGCUCGUAGGUGGCCAACUAAGUCGGACGUGAAAUCCCUCAGCUUAACUGGGGAACUGCGUCCGAUACUGGAUGGCUUGAGUUUGGGAGAGGGAUGCGGAAUUCCAGGUGUAGCGGUGAAAUGCGUAGAUCUCUGGAGGAACACCGGUGGCGAAGGCGGCAUCCUGGACCAACACUGACACUGAGGAGCGAAAGCCAGGGGAGCAAACGGG